GAUGAGGAACGUAGCGAAAUGCGAUAAGUAGUGUGAAUUGCAGAAUUCAGUGAAUCAUCGAAUCUUUGAACGCACAUUGCGCCCCUUGGUAUUCCAUGGGGCAUGCCUGUUCGAGCGUCAUUUGUACCUUCAAGCUCUGCUUGGUGUUGGGUGUUUGUCUCGCCUCUGCGUGUAGACUCGCCUCAAAACAAUUGGCAGCCGGCGUAUUGAUUUCGGAGCGCAGUACAUCUCGCGCUUUGCACUCAUAACGACGACGUCCAAAAGUACAUUUUUACACUCUUGACCUCGGAUCAGGUAGGGAUACCCGCUGAACUUAAGCAUAUCAAUAAGCGGAGGA
rnacentral:misc_RNA from 1 species